GCCGCGAAGAGACAGAAGAGGCCAAGCGGAGAGGCUAGUCUUGGACUACAGCUCCCGUCAUCCGCGCGCGCAACCUGAUGCGGCUGAGGGCGAUGGGAGUUGCAGUCCAGGCGUCUCCGGUUACCCCGCCACCCGUGGAGAUAGAUGGAGGAGAAGGACUAUUUGUGUCUGUGCUGGGGCUGGUGGGAGGUGUGGUCCAACAUGCCUCCGGUUGGACGCCCAUCAUGUUGUAGAGUUUUAGGGCUGGCUUGGAGGGGGCCGUGGGGGGGGGGGGGGGUCCUAACCUCGCUGCUCAGAGCAGGGAUCCGCUACAGCAGGGGUGUGGGGGGCAAUUGGGACCUCUUGGUGAGUCUCUCUAGGUAAUUUGAAGCGGGUAAGCAUUGCCCGGUUUCUGAUUGCUAGUUGCUUUUCAGCAGCAGCGACUUCCCCGUCCACAAAAAUGUCGGCUGCCGAAACGAAGAACGCUUUGGGGAAACCAGGAGCGGAUGUUCAUGUGCCAGGACCGUGAGCAUAAUCAAUUCCAGGGGAAAUUAAAAAUAAAAAUCUUGGACUGACUGAGCCGUUGCACCUUGUUCUAAGUGUAUGCCUACCUCCCAGGCCAGGAGUGGCCCUUCCAUGAUUAUUAUUUAUGUAUUUAAAAUAUUUAUACCCCACCCCUCCAGUGCAAUACUGCUCGGGUCGGCUUACAACUGUAACAUAGACACAGAUACAAGUAAUAAUUUUUUUUUAAAGUCAGAUUAAAAACAAUUAUUAGGUUCAAAUUAAAACUGAAAAUUAUAAAAAGCUAAAGAAAAGAACCUACCAGAUAUAACCAAAUAAUGAUAUUAAAAAGCCUCCUUGAAAAGGUAUGUUUUAAGAUGUUUUUUUAAAAACACUGAGUGGGGGAGCAUGCCAAACCUCUUCAGGGAGGGCCUUCCAAAGCCGAAAGGCCACAACCGAAAAGGCCCUGUCUCUAGUUCCUGCCAGCCAGAUCUCUGUUAGUGGCGGGGUCAUGAGCAGGGCCUGAGAUGAUGAUCGGAGGCCCCUGGCAGAUUCAUAUGGGUGAAUGCGGUCCAACAGAUACCCCGGCCCCAAGCUGUGUAGGGCGAGGUAGUUGCCUCAAGUAUGGGUGUCAGGAUGGGCUCAGGGGGUGGAAAGCACUGCCCCCUUCUACCACCAUGGGUGCCCUUCGACAGGCCUCUCUGCUGCCACCAACCUUCUUCAUCCUGCUGGAACAUGUAACUUAUUUUUCCCUCCUUGCCCCACUCUUCUUUCCCCUCUCUGAUCAGAUUGAAUAUUUUCUAAAAAUGGAGAAACAACUAUCAUUUCGCUGUUCCUGUUGCCCUACGUGCAGCUUGAAACCAGUGCUUAGAACUCAGGCUAAUCAACUUAUAUUCCCCCUACACUCCAUCUUCAGGGAAGCAGAUUCGGGUUGGAAAAUAGGGGGACUUUUCUGACUAUCAGAGCUGUUUAAGAGCGGAACUGUCCACCUCACACAAUAGUAUGUUGUCCUUCACCAGAGGUUUUCGAACAGAGGCUGGACUCUGUCAGGGAUGCUGAUAGCAUCUGUAGCACAGGCUUCAGCUUUGUGGGAUCUCCUUUGCUUUUUACUAGAAUCCCAAAAUGAGCUGGAGCCAGGUGCAAAAUAGUGAUUAGGGGAUUGGGAGGUAGGCAGUGUCAGCCCAGACAUUUUGCUGUCUGAAGCAGAGUUCCAAAUGGUGCCCCUCCCGUUUUCCUUUGUUUCAGAUCUCUCUCACUUCCUUUUCUUUUAAGAAUGGGGAAAGGAAAGUCGUGUUGGUGCCACUUCUUUUUUCUUUCUCCACAGCCCUGCAUGGGAGUGGAUGGGCGGUGGAUGCCCCUGUUGGCGAGGAGUAAUAUCUUUUCGUAGGAUUUUAGGGUUGGAGGAUAUGUUCUAGUCCAAAACCUUCUGCUAUGAUAUCCCUGACAGAAGGCAGCCCAGCCACUAUUUGGAAACAUCUAGAAAAAGAGAGAUCACCAUUUGCCCCCAGAAGCAGCCCAUUUUGCUGUGCUUCAUGGUAGGGGCAGCCUUGCCAUGUGCUGCUGUUAAAUCUCAUCUACAGUAAAGUCCUGGAUUUCUCCAUUUUCUCCUUUCACUAGCUGACACAUUUACUCUUUUAAUGAGAAAAAUACACGCUGUGUUGUUGUAUAGCCAAACAAAGGAAUUGUAGAUAUACAAAGGUCCUUGCUUGCUUUUUAAAAAUCUCUGUGAAAAGAAUGAUCAGUCAAGUACUUUUUAUGUCAAUGGUGUCAUGCUUAGUCAUCUCUGGUUACUGUGUCAUAAAAGUCCUGUGUACACAGAGAUCUAGCUUUCUGAAGGACUGGGAGAUGUAUCAUAGAAUGAUGGUGGUGGGAAUUGUAGGUUAACCAAAUGGGCAGUAUUCCCACUGUGCUAGAGCUUCCCUAUGGUUAGAUCAGCAAUGCUGGCAGUAGUGUUACUUUCCUCAAACAGUGGCAGAAGAAAUCAUUGGAAGAACCUUCUUCACUGGCAUGGUAGAAAGAUUGCUUUUCCCCCUGUGGAAAAAAGAUCUGUACCAGACUUCGUCAUGUGCAAAGCAAGAUUGUUCUUUAGGAUUGAGAGCAAUCUCAGUUACCCCUGCUAACUGAGCAAAGAGGCACCUUUUUUUAAAUUUAUAUUUUUGUAAACCGCUUUGAGGACUUUUGUUGAAAAGCAGUAUAUAAAUAUUCAUCAUAUUCAUAUUGUCGUCCUGUUUUGGCUUUCUCUUUUCCUUUUAAAGUCAGAGAAAUUAGCACUCACCUUGGCUUUGUCUUGGCAGUGAGCAUCCAGCACUGAAAGAAAGGAAAGAAAGCUAGAGAACCAGGAUUCUCUUCAAGUCUCCUUGGACAAAGGUUAAAAGCCUGGGAAAACAGGAAUGUCUUGACGGUCUUUCUAAAAGCAAGCAGAGAAGGAGAUGUUCUUAUUUCAACGGGGAGUGUAUUCCAGAGCUAUGGAGAAGCCAAAGAGGAAACCUGAAAGCAUGACAUGCUGGACUUCCAUUCAAACCCCAAAGAGACUUCAAAUCGCCAGGUAGAUAUGAAAAGGACUCUCGGGAUCUUGGGUCUAGUUUCCCAUUCUGAAAGUAGAGAUGAAGAAGACUGAUGGUUUCAUGGAUUGGCUGAUGUCUCUGGAGAGUCUGUGAAGAUGGAUUGUCUACCAGGAUGGAUGAACUGAGUUUUCCAUCACUCCAACUUGGCUCUUCGUGGUGGCCCCGGCUCUACUCUCCUACCUUCUUCCAUGACAACAUCUUCCAUCAUCACAUUCCACUUCCGCCGUUCUUCUAGCCUCUACCUCACAACCUGCAGGUUGCCAUAGGGACCGUGACAAUUUUGCAUCAUAACUAUUCAGUUGUCCAUUCCUUAACCGAUUCUCCAGCAGUUGGCAUGCAGAUGCUAUUCUGCUGUCACUGGAGAGAAUAUCUGCACCAGUUGUCUUCUUUGGGUGUUUACUGUUACAUGGCAGAUGAGCCCGCUAACAUGCAACCAUCUACUGGCUCAAACUUGUCAACCUUGAGCUCUGCAAGGGAAGGAGAAGCUCAGUCACACAGCAUCUGCAAGACACCAGUGCUGACCAUCCACUCUGCUUCUCUGCAGUCUACAAGGCUCUGUCCUCAUUGAAUCCAUCCAAGGGAGGGCCAGCAGGGAUAGCAAUCCAGCACCUUCUCUCUAGCAGGGAGAUCUGUGGAGACUGCAGCAAGAGCUCCAUAUGCCCAGCUCAGUGGUGGCUUUCCACUACCAUCUCCCCAGGGCCUUUCUUUGGGCCACCGGCCUCCAGCCUGCCCACUGCCAGCACCAUGGCCCAGCUCUGUGGGCAUCCGUACAUCCAUGAGGCACCAAGCCUUCAUCCUGCCAAGAGCAGCCUACAGGGCAAGUGAAGAUCCAGCCAUCAUUUCAGGAUUUGAGGGGGGGCCUUUGUCUCCAAACAGGGAACACAAGCCUCCAAACCCCCAGCAGAAAGAAUCCCUCUGGUGCCGGUAGACAAGGCUGUCCCAGCCCCACCAGCAGCACCAAGGAGGAAUGUGCUUCUGCUCACCAACAGGAUGGAAUUCAAAUGUAGCAUCACACCUGCUGCAGCGGGGUGGGGGGAGGGUUCCUCCCAGCCCCACCUGCUCAAGGAAGACCAAGCCACAGAGCAUUCGCCGUGCCUCAAAAGAUUAGUGCUAGUGUUUGGGGAAAGGAUGUUCUCCAGCCUAAGGCUCCUUGGGGAUCUUGGUGCUCUACCAAAUGCUCUCCAGGGAGCUCUUUGUGAAGAAGAUCAGGAAGUAUCCCCAAAAGAGAUUGCCCACCAUUGCCACUCAUCCCCCUAGCCAUAGGGCAGCAUUUCUAGAGCUUACAGUGAAGUCCCACUUCAUAUAGGGUGAGACAACUUGCCAGGCCUGGCCAGCACGCCAGGGGAAUGGAGCAUGCAUCCCAAAACACACUCCGCAGUGCAGUGCGCAGGAGUUGCUCACCAGAUGAGUCUCAUCCAUUGUUAAAUGUCUUCCCCUCAUCAUGAAAUAUUUUUCUCACUAAAAUGUCCAUGAAAGUUUGAGACUUGCUCUGUCUUUGUCCAGUCAAGGGACUCUAGUUCUCUAGUCACUCACUCUCCUCCCUCCCUUCCAUGUAGGGACCCAGGAGGACCAUCUGCCACUUCCUCCUCAGACAGGGUCCAGCAACUACCAAGGGAGACAGCCUCUUGCCACCUGGUGAUCUAAAGGAGGCAACCAAAGGGAAUUCUUUGAAUGGGACCUUCGGAAGAGGAGCCCCUGGUGGCGCAGUGGUAAAACUGCCGCCCUGUAACCAGAAGGUUACAAGUUCGAUCCUGACCAGGGGCUCAAGGUUGACUCAGCCUUCCAUCCUUCCGAGGUCGGUAAAAUGAGUACCCAGAAUGUUGGGGGGCAAUAUGCUAAAUCAUUGUAAACCGCUUAGAGAGCUCCGGCUAUAAAGCGGUAUAUAAAUGUAAAUGCUAGUGCUAUUGCUAUAGCAAAUUUGUUUCCCCCAGUGGCGACAAAGGCUCAAAAGGAAGGUGCCAAACCAUCACUACAGCUCUGACUUCUUGUCUCCCCUCACCCCUCUUCCAGUACAUCGGAAGCUGAAGCUUUAGAGAUUUGGCUUUCAACUGGGAAUCUCCAGAAUACAAUACAUGUAUAUAUCUCUGUUUACCAGUUUGUGCUUGCUCUCAUUAAUUUUGCUUGUUUUGUUAAGAGUUGGAGACUUGUCUCCUUGCUGGCACUGCAUGUUUACAUAUCUUUAUUUAUUCAUUUGUGCUUCUUCUCACUACUUGGUUUAGUCCAUUUUGUUUUGAACCAUUGUCUAGCUGAGACUCCUCAGAACAGAAAUGUGUUUAUACAUCUCUAUUUAUGAAUGUAUGCUUUUUAAAAAUGUACAUAGGUUUUUGCUGUUUUAAAAAUAUAUACUUCUAAUAAAAA